GAUAAUUAACUAUUUUGAAAUGAUCGAAACUUAACAUGAUUGUAAAGUUAAGAAACAAAGAAGGAAUAUAUAUUAACCAAAACUCUAGAUUUCCAUUUCUUCCCAUAUUUUGAAUUUUUAUGUCCCAUUUCACAUCUUUCUAUAUUGCUUAUCUCUUAACAUUGUUAUGUUAUUUAAUUGUUUUGUUUUUAGUCUUCCUACCAAAGAUAUGAAUGAUUUAGAGCAUUCUGAAUUUGUAUACUUUCUCUUACCAGUGAGUUAUAUACCUUCCAAUGUUUUCUUAUUAAUGUACCUCUCAGUUUGAAGGACUCCCUUUAGUAUUUCUUGUAGGCCAGGUCUGAUGGAGAUAUAUUCUUUUAGAUUUUGUUUGUCUGGGAAUGUAUUUAUCGCUCCUUCAUUUCUAAAGGAUGACUUUGCUGUGCAAAGUAUUCUCAGUUGGCACUUUUCCCCCCUUCAUAUCACUCUUGGCUUGUGAGGCUUCUGCUGAGAAGUCUGCUGUCAGGUAGGACACUUAAAUGUCUUGUUUUCUCUUGCUUCCUUGAGAACCUUCUCUUUAUCUUUUACCUUUGAAAACUUAAUUAUAAUAUAUCUUGGGGUAGACUUGGUUGAAUUAAAUCUGACUGUUACCCUUGAUAUUUCUAUCCUUGGAUAUAAUUUUUUUUCCAUUGGGAAAGACCAUAUGUAAAGUAUUUAUUUUAAAGGUAGCAAAGCAGCCUUAAAUUCUUCACCUGACAGUUGGCCCGUACUAGUUACCAUUUGUUUUUUUCUAGUGCCUUUCCAUUUGUAACGUCUUCCCUGCUUUCACCAUUGUGCUUAAGGUGGGCCACAAAGUAAGUUAGAGAGAAAACAACAAACUAGUUUUCUUAAAUUUCAUUCUUCGAGAAGCCUGCAACAGUAUACCUUUUGAGAAAUUCAGGCUUUUUGUUUUUUGGAACUGGGGAUUAAACCCAUGAGUGCUUAACCACUGUGCCACAUCCUCAGCCCUAUUUUUGUAUUUUAUUUAGAGUCAGGGUCUCACUGAGUUGCUUAGGGCCUCACUAAGUUGCUGAGGCUGGCUUUGAACUUGGCAAUCCUCCGUCUCAGACUCCUGAGCUGUUGGGAUUUUAGAUGUAUGCUACAACACCUGGCAAAUUCAUGCAUUUUUUUUUUUAAAAGAAAUUUGCUCUACAAUGUACAAAAAUUAUGUAAGAAAUGAAAAUUAAUUAGAAAACUGAAGAAGUAUCUUCCUACAAAAGUAUAUUUUCUUUCAAGUCAUCUCAAGAUUAAAAAAAAAAUCUCCAAGUAAUGACUCUUCUUUAUUCUAUAUACUGGAUAUUUGUAUCCUUUAGGUUUGGGGGGGAAGUUUUUUUGUUAUGAUUUCUUUGAAUAAUCUUUCUAUUUUUUUGGCAUUCUCAAAUACCUCUUGAACCCCAAUAACCCAACUAUUUCCUCAUUUAACACUGUCCCAAGAUUCCCGUAAACUUUCUUCAUUCUUUUUUCUCCUCCAUCUGUGCAUUUUUGAAUAACCUGUUUGAACUCAUUCAUUCUUCUGUUUGCUCUAUACCACUACUGAUGACUUAUCACAUUUAAAAAUUUUGCUUGGUGUUUUCUUUGACUCAAUGAUUUUUUGAAAUUGCUUCCAUUUCUUUGUUAAGUUUCCUGGUUAGAGUAUUACGUAUUUUUUUCUGUGUUUUCUUGAAGCUUGUUGAGCUUCAGGAAAACAUCUGUUUUAAAUUCUUCAUCUGAGAGUUUGUCCAUACUGGUAACCAUUUGGUUGGUUUCUAGUGCCUUAUUUUGACCUUUAAAUGAGGUCAUGAUUUCUGGAAAGCCCUUUAUGCUUGGUGUGCAAUGUCAUCAGGGCACUGAAGGAUUAGGUAUUUAUUCCAGUCUUGGUCAUCUAACUUUGACUAUGCCUGUCUUUCCAGAAAUUCUAAACUGGCUACUUAUUUUCUCUGAGCCUAUAGUCACUUCUGCUAUUUUAGCCUAGAUAGCACUAGUGCAGGUGCAGGUUUACCACCAGGCCCACUGUAGGUGUGUUGUUAUUGUUUCAGCAUAAGAGGGUGAUCCAAGCACAGGUUUGUCUCAUAUCUGCAUUUGGUUUGUUGCUGGACAUGAACCAGGGUCAUAUUUCAAAAGGGUAGUCCUUAUUCCCAGGUCUCUCCUUGGGGCUUGGGUAGGCUCAGACACCUUUUCCACAGCCAUCAGCUUAUGGUCAGGCACUGUGGGAUUCUUUCUGGCUCUGGGCAGAAUUACCCUGCCUGAACCAUCCUAGGUUUCUGUGCCAUGCCUGUGGCCAUCAAUACUAUGAAAUCUUACAUACCCUGAACCCAUAGCCUGCCAUGACUGGUACUUCCCAGGGCCAGGACAGUAGUAUGGGUUGCCUACUGCUGAGGUAGACUUGUGGCCCAAGACUGCUGCAGCCUGCCACCAGUAGUGGAAUAGAAGUCCAGUAGACUGGGGCUGCAUGUCUCUGCCUUGCACUGGGCCUGUUACUGAGGCUCUGUCUGUGGGCAUUGGUCUGGGGUUGGGCUCAUGAUCUAUCCAGUAUUAAGUUUCACCAGCCAAGCUCUGACUUCUAAGGAACCCUAUCCUACUGCCAGUAAUGAAGUCUUGCUCCAUGCUUUUCUGUCAGAGGUUGGAGUAGUGUUGGUGGAGGUAGUCUUUUGGUUACUAAGGUUGACGUUAAGCUGGGUUGUGCCUUAAUCUCACAGGCACAAGGACCUGCACACUCUCAGGGGUGCAGCCAAGAUUCAUGCCAUAGUUGGCAGCGAUGCAGACUGAAGUACAUGUGUGUCCCACAGGGAUGCAGGUCUCUGCUGGUGCUGGCACAAGUCUGGAGGCUCCAUCUUUGGCCUGAGGAUAGUUGUAUUGCCCAAGGUUGAGGGGUAGGGAUGGAGCAGUUCUUUGGCUGCCGAGGCUGAUGCUAAGCUUGGUUGCACCUGAGUCUCACACCCUCAGGGACCUGCACAAUCUGAAGAGGGGAGCCCAGACCCACUCUAAGGCUGGCAAUGAGGCAGUCCCACCUGCAUGCAGUUUUCCAUUUGAUGAUAUGGGCAGGUCUGAGGCUUCUCGGUGAGCUCUGGCCUAUGUUUGGGGCUUUCAGUUUUAACUGAGUGCUGUGUCUCACAGUGCUGGGCCUGGCACUAGACUCCAAGAUAAAGCCCUGUGCUUAUAUUGGUGCCCUGAUCCCAGCAGAUGGAAUUUUGCUCACUCUUCCUGGACCCUCCUCCAGGUUGGAGGAGUAGUGGUGGAGCCAGUCAGCCUCCUGGAUAAGGCAGUGUCAGCAGCUCAGCUGAGCAUAGGCUUGGCAAGAGGGGUUGUGGGGCUGAGAUGGUACUGUUUCAAGUCUAAGACCUGGACUUAAUUCCCUCUCUGUUCCCAAAGCAGGAGGCAUCCCACUCCACCUGCACUGUGCUGCUUGGAGAAGUGAAGCAGGCAAAUGUUUCCUUACUGUUAUCUUCAUCUUUUCUUAUAUUAUGCUGUCUUCCUUAGCUCUUGUGAAGAUAAUUUGAUGUGUGAGUAGCUAUUCAAAUUAGUGUGUCUGAGGGGAGAUAGUUGCUGAAGGAUCUCAGCUGCCAUCUUUCUUUACCUCCCUCUGAUUAUUUUAAGAUUGCAAGUGCUUCCAACUGCACUACGACAUUGUGUUCCUUCCUUCCCUUAAAGACAUUUAGAGCCUAGAGACAGACAACAUUAAGAGAUACAUAACUUCAAAGCUCCUUGUCUCUGCACCUGUUUCUCCAAAAUAAGUUUUCCAGUUAUUUGACUGGUUUGCCUGUCAUGGGUACAUUAAGAAGGGUAGGGAGAAAAGGAGGUGGGGAAGAGAGAACAGGAGGGAGAGCUCAAGAAGGAGAGAGAGGGAAAACUGGGAUUAAAAGGAGUCAGAGAAAACUAAUUUGUCCUUGUACUGUCAUCCCAGAAUGCCAGGCAAUAUAUGAGGAGUGUCCAUAAGAUAAUAAGACUGAACUUAACUGUUACCAUACAAAUCAGAGGAAGAUGGCUGUGAAAAAGAGAUGGAGGGUGAAAGUGGAGGGAAGGCAGUCUGAUCUCUCAAUGAUAAGGGUUUUCUGCUCUCCUUUCCUGUCCCUGCUGGAUCUCUCCAGUCAGGGGAACAAGCAUGCCUGUCUUGCUGUGGGUGCAGUGAAAUUCCUAUCAGUUACCCAAACUCCAAGCCUUGUUUCCUGAAGUUACUAUUCCAGGGUGGGUUUGCCAAUUCCUCUUCAGUAUUCCAGCCUCCACAUGAGUCAUGUACACCUGUUUAAUCAUUUACUCCUCAUAGGUGCCACCGUUCCUCAUUUUACAGAUGUUAAAUUUGAUGAAGAUUGUGUAACUAGUAGAUAUUGAGAUUAUAUAACUAGUAGAUAUUAAGUCUGAUUAAUUCCAAAGCCUGCUCAGCCUAGGUGUGCAUGCACCUGCCUCCUCAGCGCCUGGGAGGGUCAAGGCCUGUCUACAUAGAUUUCUAGGGCUGGAGAGAUUGAUCUCUAGGCGAAACUUGGCUGGAAGUAUUCAAAAAUGAAAAUUGCUACACUGUAGAUUUGAGCAGCAAGAGUGGUUCCUCAUAAGAGCCCCAAUACUGCUGUGUCCCCAGUUUAUCGAUAAUUGCUAAUUUUAGAACUCUGAUCAUUCUAACAAUAAAAGUGGGAGUGGGUACUGCUAUUGCUACAUGUGUUUCAAGGAUAAUCUCUGGGAAAUAGUUUGGGAAUUAGAAACAGAAUCCUAAUAAAUAGGCACUUUACUCAAUCUUCAACCUACUUUCCUCCUCCUCCUCACCCCUGCUCCAAGGCAGCCUGGUGGUUUUUGUAGCAAGGCACACAAUGAAAUCCCAGUCCAAUCUCCUACAGCUGUGUGACCUUGGCAAAUCAAUUCUGAGUUUACUUUUCUU
rnacentral:lncRNA from 1 species